GUUUACGAUGAUCAUGAAUACGGUGAAUAGCACCAUUACCGCCGAAAAUAAGGAGAAUCCUGUAAGAACUAGAGUCGCCAGGAAAAUAAGGCAGAGAGACAAACCCAAGGACGUAAGCGCUUCUACCCAAAUGCUCAAGAUAGAUAGAUAGAUAGAUAGAUAGAAAUAAUAAGAAGUAACGAACCUGUAUGGAAAGACGGUUAUCUGGUUAUCGGUGAAAUUUUCUUCGUUUAUCAUCUUUGUAAUAUUUGCUGCAAUCAUUCUAGAAUACUUUAAUGAUUCGUACCAAUCCGAGGACUUUUUCAACGGAGUAUGAUAUCCCAUAAAGUAACUGUCCCCAACAUCCGUUAGUCCAUAUUUGUCAACGUAGUAAUUUAAUGCCUGUAAAUGGCGAAAAAGGAUGAUGCCGUUAAAAAUAACUACAUAAAUACUUAUCGUUAGGAUUAUGUAGUUACUUACGUCCGGAUACGCGGCUCGUCCACCUUUUGCGCAACCUUGAUCGGGAAUGUCUUGCAAAAAAUACGAUAGAUAUUUUCGAAAACUGUAAUCGUUUGGUCGGAAAGCAUCGAGGUCGAUGUCGCAUGUCUCGCAAGUAACUGGAAGAAAGAAAAGUAAUUUACUUUUGUUCACAACAACCAUUAAUCCCAGACCAGUCUAUAUAAUCGUCUAUCCAAGACGAAGCGGAUUUCGACAAAUACGAUCUGUAAAUAAAUUCUCAAAUUAGCUAAUUAGCUUAAUAAAAUACUAUAAUAGUAUACGAAC